ensembl:lncRNA
UAUAACAACAAAAUUCUAAUAUGUAUUCUGCCAAAAAUUCAGUAGUAAUAUCUUGAAUAAUGCAUGCUUAAAAGAAAAAUUUGUUAUCAUACUAAGAAGAAUUAAUAAAGAAAUUAAUAAAGCAAAAUCAUUUCAGCUUGAUAACUAGUUUUAAAAAUUUGUAAGAGACAAUUAGUUUCUGGGUGGUGAAGUAAUAUCCUGAAGAAAGUUGAAGCUUUUAAAAGUUGAACAAAUGAACCUCAACAAAACAGUAUGGAAACUGCAGCUCGUAGCAAUACUGGGGUGACUAGAAAUCUUUAUUAUCUCUAGAUCUAGUCUUUACUAUGUCAAGAUCCAGUAAGAUCAAGAUUAAAUCAAGGGUACAUCCUGUUGGACUUUUAACUAUUGGCUUUUGUAUGCUACUGGACAAAUCUGAAAAAACAGAAAACUAGGGUUUUUCUACUUCUAUGAAAAAUGCAGGUACUUACUCUUGCAAGGUUUAGGGAAAUGACACAGUUAUCUCUGCUUAUGCUGAAAUCUUUCCUCUAGUAAAAUUCCAAUGAUCUGCUUGCUUUUGGCUUGUCUGAACAAGACUGACUUUUUUUCUUUUUUCUUUUUUCCCUUUCUAAUGUUGAAGAAGCAGAAUAUAUAAAAUACUCCACUGUGUGAAAACAAAUCAAAACAUGACUGACUGUUUUCUCUUUCUAAAAUAUGUGUUGAGUAAAGCCACUGUCUUUUCUCUUCCACUGAUUCUUUGGGCCCACAAAUGCUGAAAUUAAAGGAAGGCCCAUUUGAGACUGGACUGUUAUCAUCCAAUCCUGACAGAUGUCUUGUCCACGCACUGCUAGGAAGAAGGAAGGGUAUUAUCAUCCUGCAGUAGUGAAGAUAAUGAGCUUCAAGGACUGUGGGAACCUGCAAUUGCAGCAGAACUGAGAUAUCUUGCAAAAACAUUAAAAGGACAACAGGAGAUUGCACUUGAGGGGAGAGGAAGUGCAGAACUAUGUAUGCGGCUACUUGAAUGACAAAGCUUUAUGUCAAGACUCAUUAAAUGCCCUGCUUUGUGCUUCUUUUCUUUUGCUAGGAUUACUGUGUCAUUUGCAUGUUUUAUCUUGCCUGUGAACAAUUGUAUUCAUGAAUUCUGAAAGCAGAUCCAAAGUGGAGGAGCCACUGUACAGAGCAGUCACAGUUCUUUCCCCUGCAGCCACAUGACAUUGAAAUACAACUGAGGAUCCCAAUGACCACUGCUCCUAUCAGCUGGGGGGCCAGGCUGAGGUGAGCAACAGCAGUAUCACUACAGAGAAUAGCAAUUUUAGAACUAAUAUUACCUGAUGAGGGCAAAAAUGGUUAAGUGGUUCACUCCUUUAGGCUGCUAGAUGGCUUUAACUCAAAAUAAAUAAGGUCUGCUCUGUGGCCCAAAUGGGAGCUUGUCUUCGUGUCUUGUAAUAGAUGCACUUUUCUGCAGGAGAGGUAAAGCAGUAUUGGUUCUCUCAUCCUGAAAUUUUAAUUCAGUGGAGUGUGCAUUUGGUGCUGCUGUAGUUGCACUGAUAGUUCUAUCCUUCCAUAUACCUAUUCUG